UACGUAGGUGGCGAGCGUUAUCCGGAAUUACUGGGUGUAAAGGGAGCGUAGGCGGGAGUGCAAGUUGAAUGUUAAAUCUAUCGGCUCAACCGAUAGCCGCGUUCAAAACUGCAUUUCUUGAGUGAAGUAGAGGUUGGCGGAAUUCCUAGUGUAGCGGUGAAAUGCGUAGAUAUUAGGAGGAACACCAGUGGCGAAGGCGGCCAACUGGGCUUUACUGACGCUGAGGCUCGAAAGCGUGGGGAGCAAACAGGAUUAGAUACCCGUGUAGUCCCU
rnacentral:rRNA from 1 species